GUGAGCUGGGGCACCCCACGGCCGGGGGGCCCAAGGCAGAGCUGGCCGUGGGGCGCUGGGGGUCCCUCACACGAGAUGGUGGUGAGCAGGUUGAGCCCCGUGGGGGUCAGAGGGGCCGUGGGGCAGGCCGUGGGGCGGCUGUGGGGCGCUUACCCGAGAUGGUGGUGAGCAGGUUGAGCCCUGUGGGGGUCGGGGGGGCCGUGGGGCGGCCGUGGGGCGCUUACCCGAGAUGGUGGUGAGCAGGUUGAGCCCCGUGGGGGUCGGGGGGCCCGUGGGGCGGCCGUGGGGCGCUUACCCGAGAUGGUGGUGAGCAGGUUGAGCCCCGUGGGGGUUGGAGGGGCCGUGGGGCGGCCGUGGGGCACUUACCCGAGAUGGUGGUGAGCAGGUUGAGCCCCGUGGGGGUCGGAGGGGCCGUGGGGCAGGCCGUGGGGCGGCCGUGGGGCGCUUACCCGAGAUGGUGGUGAGCAGGUUGAGCCCUGUGGGGGUCAGAGGGGCCGUGGGGCAGGCCGUGGGGCGGCCGUGGGGCGCUUACCCGAGAUGGUGGUGAGCAGGUUGAGCCCCGUGGGGGUCGGGGGGCCCGUGGGGCGGCCGUGGGGCGCUUACCCGAGAUGGUGGUGAGCAGGUUGAGCCCCGUGGGGGUCGGGGGGGC